rnacentral:rRNA from 1 species
AGCAGCCGCGGUAAUUCCAGCUCCAAUAGCGUAUAUUAAAGUUGUUGCAGUUAAAAAGCUCGUAGUUGAAUUUCGGGGUCAGUAGAUUGGUCGUGCCACUGGUAUGUACUGGUCUCACUGGCUCCUCCUUCCUGAUGAACCGUAAUGCCAUUAAUUUGGUGUUGCGGGGAGACUGGACUGUUACUUUGAAAAAAUUAGAGUGUUUAAAGCAGGCUAACGCUUGAAUACAUUAGCAUGGAAUAAUGAAAUAGGACGUUCGAUCUUAUUUUGUUGGUUUCUAAGAUUGACGUAAUGAUUAAUAGGGAUAGUUGGGGGCAUUAGUAUUCAAUUGUCAGAGGUGAAAUUCUUGGAUUUAUUGAAGACUAACUACUGCGAAAGCAUUUGCCAAGGAUGUUUUCAUUAAUCAAGAACGAAAGUUAGGGGAUCGAAGACGAUCAGAUACCGUCGUAGUCUUAACCAUAAACUAUGCCGACUAGGGAUCGGAUGA